GUGCGUGGGGGCUUCGUCGCUGCCGCAAGGGAGAGGAAAGUCCGAGCAACACAGAGCACCGCGCUUCCUAACGGGAAGAUACUCGCAAGGGUGUGGUUAAGGUAACAGAGAAUAACCGCCUUGCCUUUGGGCAGGGUAAGGGUGAAAAGGUGGGGUAAGAGCCCACCGCCGCUAUGGUGACAUAGUCGGGCAGUACUACCGGCGGGUUGCAAGGCCAAGUAUAUCGACAUCUAAGGGUUGCUCGUCCGUUGUCGAGGGGUAGGCCGCUAAUUUUUAGUAGGCGGGUGACCGUCUGCAUAGAUAAAUGACGAAGGGCCUCUUCGGAGGCUACAGAACUCGGCUUAUACUCCACACACAUUU
rnacentral:RNase_P_RNA from 1 species